GAUGAACGCUGGCGGCGUGCCUAAUACAUGCAAGUCGAGCGAACAGACGAGGAGCUUGCUCCUCUGACGUUAGCGGCGGACGGGUGAGUAACACGUGGAUAACCUAUCUAUAAGACUGGGAUAACUUCGGGAAACCGGAGCUAAUACCGGAUAAUAUAUUGAGCCGCAUGGUUCAAUAGUGAAAGACGGUUUUGCUGUCACUUAUAGAUGGAUCCGCGCCGCAUUAGCUAGUUGGUAAGGUAACGGCUUACCAAGGCAACGAUGCGUAGCCGACCUGAGAGGGUGAUCGGCCACACUGGAACUGAGACACGGUCCAGACUCCUACGGGAGGCAGCAGUAGGGAAUCUUCCGCAAUGGGCGAAAGCCUGACGGAGCAACGCCGCGUGAGUGAUGAAGGUCUUCGGAUCGUAAAACUCUGUUAUUAGGGAAGAACAAAUGUGUAAGUAACUAUGCACGUCUUGACGGUACCUAAUCAGAAAGCCACGGCUAACUACGUG
rnacentral:rRNA from 1 species